UCUCUCUUUUCUCUGUUGAAUUUCUUACUUGUUUGUAGGUCCUUAUGGUUCAUGAAGACAUCUCCCAUAUAUAGCUUGAAUUGAUUCCCAUGAUUUAGGAAAUACUUAAUGGAUUAUUCUCCACUUGGGGGGAACAACACCAUCUGAGUCACCACUUUUGGAGGAUUUUAGCUCUUGCCUUUCGUCAUUGCGCAUUGAUUUACGUGUCCUUGGAGGGUGUGGAGCAAGAGAAGGUGGAAACUGUUUUCAAGCCUGUUUGUUGAUAUUAAAUUCCAUGACGUUCAAGGGAAGAAUUACCGUUGUGCCAUACUGAAGUUGAACAAGGAUAUUGUGCCUGAGCAAUGUAAGGUGGUUGUUAAGCCCAACCGAGUCAUUGUCACACUGUUUAAAACUUCAAAAGGGAAUUGGCUUGAUUUGCACUUCAAAGAAGAUAAGUUGAAGCCAAAUAUGGAUAAAUAAAAGGAUCCAAUGGCUGGAAUUAUGGAUUUGAUGAAGGUAA